AAGUCCCCCAGUACAUAGUUGUGGGUCCUUCUAGUUGUGGCAUGUGGGAUGCUGCCUCCGCGUGGUUUGAUGAGCAGUGCCAUGUCCGCACCUAGGAUUUGCACCAACGAAACACUGGGCCGUCUGCACAGAGCGCACAAACUUAACCACUCGGCCACAGAGCUGGCCCCCAUGCUGUGACUUUUGAUUGGUGAAUUCAAUCCACUUAUAUUUGGGGUAAUUAUUGAUAUGUAAGGGCUUACUAAUACCGUCUUAUUAAUUGCCUUCUGGCUGUUUUGUAGAAUCAAUGUUUCUUUUUUCUUCACUUUCUGCCCAGCUUUGUGAAUUAAUGAUUUUCCCUAGAGGUAUGCCCUGAUGGCCUUCUCUUUAUCUUUUGUGAAUCUACUAUAGGUUUUUGCUUUGCAGUUACCAUGAGGCUUACAUAAAACAUCCUACAGAUAAAACAGUCAAUUUUAAGCUGAUAAUGGAGAUCUUGUCAAGAUGGUGGUGUGAGCAGACGUUGAACUCGUCUCUUCCCACGAACACAGCCAGGUUACCACAAUUUUUGGAAGAAUUACCCCAGAUUGAAAACUGAAAACUGGAUAAAAAGAACCCCCACAACAAGGGACAGUCCCGACGAAGGCAGAAGAGGCAGUAAUUCCUGCUGGAGAGGGAAAAAGCCACCUUUGGGAGCAGCGAAGCUUCUCAGCUGGCCAGGUGGGAGCCACCCUAAGGGGAUGAUGAUGAUGAUGAUGAUAAGUGACACUACCAGUGAAGAAAGAAAGGAUACACCAGGAAGUUGAUAAAUAGAAAAUCAGCAAACUAUAACUUCCUAACUCUAUCAAUCAAUCUUCUCCACUGUAUUUCAGAAAUAAUAUGAGAUAGCUUAAUUUUUGACUGGUUAUUGACCUGUAUGUUUACGCUACCAAAGAGAAAUGACUUC
rnacentral:lncRNA from 1 species